rnacentral:rRNA from 1 species
UGGGGAAUCUUGCACAAUGGGCGCAAGCCUGAUGCAGCAACGCCGCGUGCGGGAAGAAGGCCCUAGGGUUGUAAACCGCUUUCAGCAGGGAAGAAAAUGACGGUACCUGUAGAAGAAGGUGCGGCCAACUACGUGCCAGCAGCCGCGGUGACACGUAGGCACCAGGCGUUGUCCGGAUUUAUUGGGCGUAAAGAGCUUGUAGGCGGUUCGGUUAGUCGGGUGUGAAACCUCUGGGCUCAACUCAGAGACGCCACCCGAUACUGCUGUGACUAGAGUGCGGUAGGGGAGCGGGGAAUUCCUGGUGUAGCGGUGAAAUGCGCAGAUAUCAGGAGGAACACCAGUGGCGAAGGCGCCGCUCUGGGCCGUAACUGACGCUGAGAAGCGAAAGCGUGGGUAGCAAACAGG